rnacentral:rRNA from 1 species
UGCGCAGGCGGUUAUAUAAGACAGAUGUGAAAUCCCCGGGCUCAACCUGGGAACUGCAUUUGUGACUGUAUAGCUAGAGUACGGCAGAGGGGGAUGGAAUUCCGCGUGUAGCAGUGAAAUGCGUAGAUAUGCGGAGGAACACCGAUGGCGAAGGCAAUCCCCUCGGGCCUGUACUGACGCUCAUGCACGAAAGCGUGGGGAGCAAACA